rnacentral:rRNA from 1 species
CCCUUAGAUGUUCUGGGCCGCACGCGCGCUACACUGAUGCAUUCAACGAGUCUAAAACCUGCUCUGAUAGGGGUGGGUAAUCUUUUGAAUGUGCAUCGUGAUUGGGAUAGAUGAUUGCAAUUUUUCAUCUUCAACGAGGAAUGCCUAGUAGACGCAAGUCAUCAGCUUGCAUUGAUUACGUCCCUGCCCUUUGUACACACCGCCCGUCGCUCCUACCGAUUGAAUGAUCCGAUGAAUAUCAUGGAUUGGAGAUUAUAGCGGGGCAGGUUCGCUUGUCUCAAGAUUUUCGAGAAGUGAAGUAAAUCUUAUCAUUUAGAGGAAGGAGAAGUCGUAACA